UACGUAGGGGGCUAGCGUUGUCCGGAAUCAUUGGGCGUAAAGCGCGUGUAGGCGGUCCGGUAAGUCCGCUGUGAAAGUCGAGGGCUCAACCCUCGAAUGCCGGUGGAUACUGUCGGGCUUGAGUACGGGAGAGGCGAGUGGAAUUCCUGGUGUAGCGGUGAAAUGCGCAGAUAUCAGGAGGAACACCCGUGGCGAAGGCGGCUCUCUGGGACGGUACUGACGCUGAGACGCGAAAGCGUGGGGAGCAAACAGG
rnacentral:rRNA from 1 species